rfam:Halosimplex carlsbadense 2-9-1 contig_34, whole genome shotgun sequence.
CUGAUGAACGCGUACGGGUCAAUUGCGGCCUGCAACACCCAGUCUCGCUCCCCGUGCCCUCCGGAAUGGAGGUCGGGGAGGGGGAGCGCGUCUCCGUCAG